CUGGUGUUCGGGUUGUCAUGCCAAUGGCAUUGCCCGGUAGCUAAAUGCGGAAGAGAUAAGUGCUGAAAGCAUCUAAGCACGAAACUUGCCCCGAGAUGAGUUCUCCCUGACCCUUUAAGGGUCCUGAAGGAACGUUGAAGACGACGACGUUGAUAGGCCGGGUGUGUAAGCGCAGCGAUGCGUUGAGCUAACCGGUACUAAUGAACCGUGAGGCUUAACCUU
rnacentral:rRNA from 1 species